CGACCGGGUGAGUAACACGUGACUAACCUACCUUCGAGUGGGGGAUAACCUAGGGAAACCUGGGCUAAUACCGCAUAACAUCUUUGGAGUGGAAAUUCCGCAGAUCAAAGGAGCAAUUCGCUGGAAGAGGGGGUCGCGGCUGAUUAGCUAGUUGGCGGGGUAAUGGCCCACCAAGGCUUUGAUCGGUAGCCGGCCUGAGAGGGCGCACGGCCACACUGGAACUGAAACACGGUCCAG
rnacentral:rRNA from 1 species